rnacentral:tRNA from 1 species
GGUCCUAUAGUUUAAGUAAAGCGGAGAAUUGCAAAUUCUAAGAUGUGCCUUAAUCGGUGCUGGGGCUU